AAGCAAAGAAAAUUGAGAGAGGGAUUAGGGUUAGAAAUGUUGUUCUUCUUCUCUCAGGCCAUAAAACAGCGCCACUUUCUCCCUUCGUCUCAUCUCCAUUCUCACGCAACGGCAGCCUCUCUGUUCACCACCAUCAGCUUCGUCCAAACUCCUUUCUUCCUCUUCUCCGUUACUGCAAUCGGUGCAUGUACUUAUCUCCACCAUCUCUCAUCAACAAACAUUGUCCUAUUCCAAUCGAUUCUCAACCCAUAACCAUCAUAUUUUAUACAUGUUCAUCACCAUAUCACCUCUAUCUGCUUCGUGAUAAACUCCCUUUGUCUCCUCUCUUCGUCUAUAAUAUCUCGUUGUGUUUCUCAAUGUUCGUCCUCCUCUCAGCUAUUGCAAAUCAUCACCUUCACUGCUUCCAUCGCGAAUCCAUUUUCCUCUCGCUCUCUUUAUUGAAUCCACUGAACAAAAAUAACAUGCACUAUACUAGCGGAAGGAAUUAG